UGGCAACACCUCGGAUUAUGACUCCAUUGUAUGAGGCCAGUGCAAACAGGCUGAGAGAGGCCCUGCAGAGCAAGCACCAACAAUGAAGGGUUAUCCAGGGCUCUUACAUCAAAGAAGAAACAGGACAAAGUCUGUGUACGGAAGGGUUGGCUGUAGAUGUUACACAACCAGGCAAGGAGGAGAGGCAAGGGAAGGGCUGUGCAAUCUCGACCACAUGGAACUGGGAGCAGGAAGGCUUCCCAAGGUCGUGCUUCACCAUGAGACUUGAAAAUCUCACAUGACAGGGAAUAGUGGGACAAUCUG